rnacentral:rRNA from 1 species
AACGAACGCUGGCGGCAGGCUUAACACAUGCAAGUCGAACGCCCCGCAAGGGGAGUGGCAGACGGGUGAGUAACGCGUGGGAACAUACCCUUUCCUGCGGAAUAGCUUUGGGAAACUGGAAUUAAUACCGCAUACGCCCUACGGGGGAAAGAUUUAUCGGGGAAGGAUUGGCCCGCGUUGGAUUAGCUAGUUGGUGGGGUAAAGGCCUACCAAGGCGACGAUCCAUAGCUGGUCUGAGAGGAUGAUCAGCCACAUUGGGACUGAGACACGGCCCAAACUCCUACGGGAGGCAGCAGUGGGGAAUAUUGGACAAUGGGCGCAAGCCUGAUCCAGCAAUGCCGCGUGAGUGAUGAAGGCCCUAGGGUUGUAAAGCUCUUUUACCCGGGAUGAUAAUGACAGUACCGGGAGAAUAAGCCCCGGCUAACUCCGUGCCAGCCGCCGCUGUAACAC